GACGAACGCUGGCGGCGUGCUUAACACAUGCAAGUCGAACGGAAAGGCCCUGCUUUUGUGGGGUGCUCGAGUGGCGAACAGGUGAGUAACACGUGAGUAACCUGCCCUUGACUUUGGGAUAACUUCAGGAAACUGGGGCUAAUACCGGAUAGAAGCUCCUGCUGCAUGGUGGGGGUUGGAAAGAUUGGGCGGUUGGGGAUUGACUCGCGGCUUAUCCGCUUGUUGGUGGGGUAGUGGUGUACCAAGGCUUUGACGGGUAGGCGGCAUGAGAGGGUGACCGGCCACCUUGCGACUGAGAUACGGCCCAGACUCCUACGGGACGCAGUAGGGGGGAAUAUUGCACAAUGGGCGGAAGCCUGAGGCAGCAACGCCGCGUGCGGGAUGCCGGCCUUCGGGUUGUAAACCGCUUUCGCCUGUGACGAAGCGUGAGUGACGGUAAUGGGUAAAGAAGCACCGGCUAACUACGUG
rnacentral:rRNA from 1 species